rnacentral:rRNA from 1 species
GACGAACGCUGUCGGCGUGCUUAACACAUGCAAGUCGAACGAAGUGGCGAACGGGUGAGUAACGCGUAAUCAACCUGCCCUUCAGAGGGGGACAACAGUUGGAAACGACUGCUAAUACCGCAUACUGAAGGGGGGGAGUGUGUGUGAUUAGCUAGUUGGAGGGGUAAGGGCCCACCAAGGCGAUGAUCAGGAGCCUGUCUGGAGGGGUGGACGGCCACAAUGGGACUUGGGCACGGGCCAGACUCCUACGGGAGGCAACAGUGGGGAAUCUUCCGCAAUGGACGAAAGUCUGACGGAGCAACGCCGCGUGAGUGAUGACGGCCUUCGGGUUGUAAAGCUCUGUUAAUCGGGACGCGGUACCUGAAGAAUAAGCACCGGCUAACUACGUGCCAGCAGCCGCGGUAAUUC